CCUCCUGCUUUUCCAGCAGGACCUGCACAGAAGGAAACAGCAGAGGCCUUCACACUUCUCCUGCAACAUCCCUGUGGCAAGGGGCAAAGACUGAUGGGCUCACGUGCUCUCAGAGCACUUGGCUGCUGCUGCCCUGGGCCACUGCCUGCUCUGGGGGAGACACAGCUUCCCAGGAAGUGACUUAAAACACAGCCCCGAAGACAUCUGGGUUACUGUUCAGAAAAACUCCAGGCAAGCCUUUAAAAAGAUCUUUCUCCUGUCAGCAUUCCUGCUGCACCCUCCCCAUGCCCACUAAAGAAAAGUCCUACAAACUCACCUUGGCCAUGAAUAUAUACGAGUACACACACAAUUAGAAAAGAGAAACUUGAAAAAGGCGCCCCUUAGAACUGUGAACACAAGGUCCAAACGUAGCUAAGAAAUGGCCCUUUGUGGCGAUCUUCAAUUCUCACCAGCACAUCCUUCCUUUCCUUCUCCAGGUCCUCCAAUUUCCUCUGCAGAGAUUCCACCUCCUGACGAAGAGUCACAGACUCUUCCUGCCUUUCAGUGGCCUCUUUCUCCAGGGCAAUUUGGCGAGAGAUUUGCCUGGCUUCUGCCAGCACCCACUCUGCAGCAGAGAAGGGGAAGGAGAAGUAGAAGGGGAAAAGCAAAGCAAAGCCAAACUGAUGUGCAUCCUGCAGAGACAACAGCACUGUCUUCUCUGCUUGCCUGUGUUUGCCAGGCCCCAAGCCCACGAAGGUUCCGAAGCUGACAGAAAUGAAGGAAAGUUCCCAGUAGAGAAAAAGGCAGGAAUGAAAGGGGCAAGGUUCAGAGGGAUAGGAAAGUGUGUUUGCUCUUGGCCUUGUGCAGAGUGAGCAAGGCAAGAGAGAUGAAGGAGAGGGGAUGCCUGUGCAGGCCUGCUCCAGAGAGGCCAAUAGCCUGGAGGCUCUGGCAGGGCCUGGAUUUUGGGGGAAUGGAGCUGAGGCAUCCAGCUACAGCUCCUCAGCUGGUGAGACAGUAUGGGGCAGUGAGUGGCAGAGGAGAAGCUGUACCUUGCUCACAUUCCUCCAACUUCUUCUGCAGCUCCAGGUUGCAGGCUCUGAGGUUGUCUCUCUGAGCCUCUGUUUUCCUCAGCUCCAGCUCCACAGCCUUACACUGUGUGGCCAAGGCAAGAGCUUUGUCCUCAGAGCUCUGGAGCUUCACACGCAGCUCAGACACCUCAGCCUCCAGGACGUGCACAGAGUCCCUCAAAGAGCGUUCUCCUGCUCGAGACCCUUCCAGCUCCUUCAGCAGCUUCUUCUGUCGAGUUGCCUGGGAAGCCUCCAUCUGCAGCACUGCGUCCUGCAGGGCCAGGAUCUGGAAGAUGGAUGCACACAGCCUCAGGGACAGGGCUGCUCCUGAGGGAGCAGAGUGGGCCGCAGGGAGAGCAACAAAGGAGAAAAGAUUUCAGGCAAAAAACAUGUCAAAACCAGAAGGCACAGAAGCAAGGAUUCCAAUGGAGAGAAAUGUAGAGAAAACAAGUAAGGGAGGCACUGGGCAUCCUUGGGCGGCAGCUCUGAACAGCGGCUCAACUGGCUGUGCUGGAAGUGCCCUGCCCAGCCUGCCACAGCCACCUCUGUGUCCCCACAUUGCUCAGUGCCCGGCACAGGCCCACACUCUGUCUGGGACAGCACUGCUAACAGAGGGACAGAGAAGCCCCAGAGGAGUCUGCUGCUGCUUCUCUUCCCAGACUUCCUGCUGGGACCCGGGAGAGGAUGGGGGAAAACUUCUGCAGCAGACACCAGAUCCAGCCUCGGCCUCAGGGUGCAGCAGCAGCCCCGGGCAGAAUACAGCAGCUGUGGAUGCUGCUGGGAGGGGAAGGAGGUUGGAGCCUCCAAGCCAAAGGUGCUGUUGUGUGUCCCUGGAGAAGAGGAUGCCACUGCACAGCUUACCUGCGUGUUGAGCUCCCGCAGUUGUCCAGCACGGUUGGAAGAGAGCUGUUCGGCCAGCUGAAGGGCAGAUUGACACUGAGACACCUGAUUGUUCAGUGCCAGCUUCUGCUCUUCCAGCGAUCUGAGGCACACAUUCUUCUCCUCCAGAGACAGAAUCAGGCUAGAAGGGAAGCAAGCAACUCAUUACUAACUGAUAUCACAUUUUAUCAACUCUUAGGACUUGCAUCAGCUCAGGGGAAAACUGCUCUGUCUGAUGAGGUUUGUCUGAACAACUUGGCUGUUUGUUCCCCCUGCAGUCCCAGCCCAGCAUGUGCCUACUCUGCUUUGUCCCUGAAGGAACAGUGAGUUCCUGCCUACAUGCCCUACCUUCUUUUUGAGAUGGAAAUGUGAAUUCAAACAUAACAAAGUCUUGCCAUGAAGACAUUAGGGGAGAGGAACAAUUUCCUUCUAACUAACCAGGCUCCAAACAGGGAGGUUUGGUCAACAUGGAAGAGACAUUUGCUUCCCCCACCUUACACAUCCAGGUAGGAUGAGCAGCACCCUACAGCCAGGGGAUCUCUGGCAAGAUCCCUAAGAUUUACCAGCACCCCUCCUAAUUUCACCUAGAGAAACAAUGGCUAAAGUGGCAACCGAGGCUUGGAGCACAACCUGAUGGAAGAUGCAAAAGGCUCCAGGCAAGCAGGAGUGCCCUGCCUUUCCUUUGUCUUCUUGGAGGAAGAAUCCUGUGGCACUGAAGCCUGGCAGGACUUGAUCAGCUGCAGGAGCCCCCCAUACCUUGGUCCUGUUUCUUGCAUUCUUGGCACAGUCAGAAAUGCCUGUGACUGUGCAGGGUGGCAGGGAUCCUGCUUGACCCCCUGCAGGCAGCGGGGGACAUUUGAUGAGGAAGGAUGCAACAGAAACAUUCUUGUUUCUGGGCUGCCUCCGAGGGCAUUCUGGCCUAGAUCAGCAAUCAGGGCCUUAAGAUGGUUCUGCCCAGAAAUAGCAUCAGAUGCCAGGCUGAUCCAGAUCCCAAAGGCUUCAAGUUACAGGACCCAAGGUGGAGCUGAUGGAUGUAUCCAGCUCCUUACAGCACAGCUCGGUCAGUGUCAACACACCCACCUAACCACAGUGUCAACACACCCACCUAACCACACAAUACACCCUAGAGGGAAAGAGCCCCCCUAAAAAUCUUUGUCUUCAGAAGAACUCUGUCUGAAGGCUUAAAAGAAAAGAAAAUGAAACACAACAUCCAGAAAAUCAGAUGUGAUUGCAUGGAGAGUUCAGAAUCUGCCAUUCAGGAAAUGCUGCCAGAGUCCCUGGCAGGUGCAAAGAAGGCAAAGAGGGAAUCCAUUCACCACAAUGCAGAGUCCCACAGGCUUUCAUUUACCUGGCUUUUUCCUUCUCUAGGGCAUUCACUGACGCCUGCAGUUCUGAAUUCUGCUGAGCCACUUCUUCCCAUUUACUCCAUUCCGUCUCCAAGUUCUGCAGAUGCUCCUGCAGCUGCUUGUUCUGAUGUUCUGCCUCCUCCAGCAGCUUCUGGAUGUGCUCAAUCUCCAACAGCUUCUGCCUGGAGUCUUCCUGGGCCUCCCUCCCAUCUUGCUGGGCUCUCUGCACAGUCAUUUCCUGGCAUUCUCGGGAGGCUUCCAGCUGAGAUGUCAACUCUCCCACCUCCAGUCAAAGAGAACAAAGCAGUCAGAGGCUACAGCCACAGCUUCUCACUCUCAGCCACAACACAGGCUGUGAGCAAAGGUAAAGGACAAUUUCCAUUUCUCCCUGUCUUGAGAGCACCAGAUUCACAAAGCAUAUGGACAACUUGUUUCAGUCUCUCAGUGGCCCACCACCAAGGGCACCUGAAAAAGCACCUGCCAAGCCAAGGCUAGCAAGAAGAGGCCAGCAGGAAUCCAAGCUGGUGGUUGCUGGCCAACAGCGCAGAGGACUGGCCCAGCUGUCGAGAGCAGCAGCUGACAUUCAGCAGAGGAUUGAGUGUCCCCCAGAGAGAGCAGCUGCCAUGGAGCUCCCAGAGCAGGAGACAGCCCCAGGGCUCACCCCAGCAGCUGCUGCUCUGCCAUGGAAAAGCAAAAAGGCCAGAGACCCCUGGCUGCAUGACUGUAGUGUCACUGCAGUUUCACUCACCUGCUUUUGUAGAGCCUCCCUCUGCUCGAGGAGGAGAUUCAUUUCCUCUUUGAGGCCUUGUAGCUCUUCCUCAUGCCUCCUCUGCACUGCCUGGACUUCACUGCGAGCCUCCUGCAGCUCAUCUUGCAGCUCUGCCUCCACUUGCUUCCUGGUCAUCUGCAGCUGUGAUAUCUGCUGCUGAGCAGCAAACAGCCUGGAUUGCAGUCUCUCCUUUGCUGACCUACAAGUUACAAUUGUGGACACACAUGAGUUGCUUGCUCCAGAUGCCCACAGCCCGGUAUUCCAGGACAACGUGGCUCAAGAUCCCCACACCUGAGUAUGGAAAAUGGGUCACCUGGAAACUCAUCCAGAGAAGGCACAUCUGGGCCAUUUCAAGAGGAGAGCAGGGCCCUCUGAGGGACUGCCCAGGCCUUCCUUAUGGCCUGGCAUAGCACAGACUGCCCAGCCCAAGCUGGCCUCAACAGCCAAACCUUCAGUUGCUGUUCCUGACCUAUGACACUGGGUAGCUGUGCCCAAACAGGCUGGAGCAAGGAGCAAAAGCCCAGCCUUGCUCACGGCCUUUCUCUCAUCAGCACUUCCAAGCUGCUCUGCAGGGGGAGAGAACAGAUUCUUGUCCUGGCUGACUCCUGACUUUUUAAUGCUCUUGAUAAUGGACAUAGAGGUACAUCAUCCUCCAGACACUCUGUAUUUAAGAGGCUUCGGAACUACUUUGCAAAUACAGUAAAAUCUCAUGGUCAGGGCAGCACUUGUAAAAAAUCACAACAGCCUUUGCCUGAACAACAACUACCUAAAUGCAGAGACAGCACUUUCAACUCUUGCAAGGUCAUGGAGUAGACUUGCCACCUUUAUUUUAGUGUUGCCCUCUAAGCAGGCAGUAGCCCAAGGGACUUGUCCUUCCUUACAGAGUGAGAGGGACCAUCCAAAGGCACCUUGGAGGCUUUGGCAGCUGGCUGCCCAUCAACAAUCAUCAAGAGUGCCCAGAGGCUGUUGAGAAUUCCAAAGAGCUUUCCCUGCUGCUCUCUAACCCGCUCUGUGUCCUGUCCCACACUUCUCAAGAGUGUUCUUGGAAGUAGAAAUGCCUCAAGAUUUUCAGCAGGAGCCUUUGGCUUCACCCUGAAUGGCAGUGUGCUACGCCCAAAGUGCCAAGGUAAGAUCCUGGAAUGCUGAAGAUGAAGCUUCCUGAUCUGAAGAUCAGGAUCAUGUCAAGCUACUUGGAAAGGAACGAGGGAUGUUCAAUGCCCAGAACAAGGAACCAAACCCAAGAGAAACCUGAGGUUUCACUUAGCAUCUGCAUGGUUGAACUAUUACUACUCAGUUCAGGGCUGGGUGGAUUGCUUUUGACAUCCCACAGGAGCGUGCUCGGUGGCACAAACAGGAGCCCAAGGCUCACGAGAACUUUGCUGGCUUUAGGUGUCAGAAGAAUAACCUUAAUUUUGUGUUUUUUUUGUUUUUUUCUUGAGACACUUCCAUAUUCGGUCCACAGAAUGUAAAAACAUCUGAAAAGGCUGAGCUCCCUGCUUUUACCUGGUCUCUGCCAGCUGCCUGGCAAGGUCUUGUCGGAGCCACUCGGUGGCUGCCAGUCGGCCCUCAAGGUCAGCCUUCUGGCCCAGCAGCUCCUCCUCUCGCCACACCUGGGCCACUUCAUGCCCUUGGUCAGAGGAUUCCUGGCUCAGAUACUCCAGAGACCAGCUGGAUGACUCUUGCUCCAGAGAAUCCUGCAAGUGGGACAAGAUCCCUCUGAAGCUGCAAUUCCUCCAAUGUCUGCCUCUUGACUUCCAGCUGCCUCUGCAAUGAUGGCUCUUUUCCCUCGAGCGCAGCCAAGUCCUCCACUGUACAAGAAGGGGCAAGAUGAGUUUUCAAGGGAAAACCAGUCUCCUUUCCAAAACCAACCUCCAUCAUGUCCUGCUGCUCUGUCUUUUCUGCCUGGGCUGAUGCUUCCUUCUGCUGCUUGGUGCUCUUCUGAUGCAGACAAAAGGCUCCUGGCUCUGGGAUUCCGGUGCAUUGCAGCAGAAUUUCCCUGGACUUCUCAAGGUUUGCACAGUCACUGCAGAGACAAGGCUCAGUCAGAAGAAACAAGAGGCCUUAAGAGUCAGCAGUGCCAUUUUCAGCACUCCAGGAUGGAGCUGGGGGCAGUGGGCUAAGGAAGACCUUGGUCUUUCCCUCCCAAGGAAAUCCUGCAGAGGCAAAGGGAAAGGAAGGCAGGAUUAUGCCUUCCUUCAGUAAGAAGCAGUGGCUGGGCAGGGGCACGCAAAGAACAGAAUUCAGGGAAGCAGCACAGCGAGAAGGAGUCUUCUAUUCCAGCAUGGCUCUGCAUCUCCUAGACAGCCUUGGGAGGCACAGUAGAGCAUGAAAAACCCAGACAGGACAAUGCUCGAGAGCCACACUGAGGCCUACACAUGGUAGGCAGGUGAUUUCUUCUCCAGGACACCUCUGACCUCCCAGGCCUGGAAGCAGAUUGCCUCUGGAAUGCAGGAGGAGGAGGAGGAAAUGCUCACCUACUGAUUUCUUCUAGCAGAGAGCCUAUGAUUUGGUAUUGGCUUCUGAUCCUCUGGGUUCUCUCCUCUAUUUGGUCAAACUGUUGCCACAUGCGCCCACAAUUCUCUGUAGCUUCCCGAGCCAAUUCAAAGGGAUGCUGCUCAUCAGUGGAUGUCAGAGUGGAGAGGAUGUUCCCAGGAUUGUGGGUGGAAAUGAUGGAAUUGGCCAUGCUGUCACCGUUGUCUGCCAGCACCUGAAAGCCCACAUCCAGCUGUUAGUCAGGUAUUGUGUUCCUAUUCCAAAGUAGCACUGAAAUGCCUCUUCUGAUCCCACAAGAACCAGUGUCCAUUCAUGGAGAGCCAGUUUCAAAAUGCCAGCCAGCUCAGCACAGUUUACUCACCUCAGGGGGUCUGGAGGAACGUCCCUGGUGAGAAAGCCCUCGAGCUCCCUGCAAGUGCACAGGGAAGAGCACACUCAGACUGCAUGGCUGCCCCUGAGGCAGUUGCCUCUAAGUGCUUCCCAGCCUGUCCCAGAGCACAGUACUUCCAGCUGAGCUCUUCCUCUCCGUGGCAAUAUUUUCAGCCCAGCAGUUUGACAGCAGCACAAACAAACAUGCUGGAAGGUGUCUCAUCACUUCUAAGAACACGAGAAGGGGAGCUGCCCAGAGCCCAAUCCAUCCUGGCCGUGAACACCCCCAGGGAUCCAGGGGCAGCCACAACUUCUCUGGGCAACCUCAAGCCUGGGUGCCAGGGCCUCAGCACCCUCAGAGGGCAGAAUUCCCUGCCAAUAUCCCAUCCAUCCCUGUCAUGUCUUGGUGGGAAGGCUUGUCCUGUCCCUGCAGGUCCCUGGCUUAAGUCCCUCUCCAGCUCUCUUGCAGCCCUUUCAUGCAUUGGAAGGGGCGCUAAGGUCACCCUGGAACCUUCUCCAGCCUGGACAACCCCAACUCUUGCAUCCUUUUCCCUUGGCACAGGUGCUCCAGCCCUUGGAGCGUCUUCCUAUCAUCCUUCUGACCUCUUCUGGGCCACUGGGGAUCAUUUUGGAGAUGUCUGGGAGAAACUCAUUCUUGACUCUGGGAAGCGCUGACGCUGUGCUGUAAUUUGGGUGAGGGGAAGGCAAUGAAAAGCUGCUGCCUUGUUUGUGCCCAUGGCCUCCAGUGGGACAAGGACAGAGGAGGAGAUGUGGCUGUGCUCUGGGAUAUCCAGGAGCCCCCUAUUCCCUCCCAGGCCUGUCCCCAGGGCAAGCACCACAGCUGCUGCCAGCUCUGGAACAGCCAACUGUUAAUCCCUUGCUAAUCCCAAAGGGAACUGUUCCCUGAGGCACAGCCCGGGCCCACCCAGGCCCCUGCAGGGCUUGGCACAAGGAGAGCAGCGGCCUUGACACUCACCCUCCAGGUCUCCAUCCGCCCCUUGGCACCAGCAGUGAGGAAGCAGCAGUGACCAAAAGCCCUUGGCCUUAGCAGGGUCUAAACCCCAGUGACCAACGGCCCUUGGCCUUUGCAGAGUUCAGACCCCAAUAUCCAAAGGCCCUUGGCCUUUGCAGGGUCUACACCCCAAUAUCCAAAGGCCCUUGGCCUUUGCAGGGUCUGAAUCCCAAUAUCCAAAGGUUCUUGGCCUUUGCAGGGUCAAUAGCACACGAGUGCCGUUGGCCUUUGCAAGGUCCAAGCCCCAAAGAGCAGGAGCUGUUGACAGCUCCCGGGUCCAAACCCCAAUAGCCAGGAGCUGCUGAUUGUUGCCAGGAUCCAAUCCCCAGCAUUCCAUGGCCUUUGUGACAGUUACCAGGGUCAUACCCCCAGCAUUCCAUGGCCUUUGUGAUGGCUGCCAGGGUCCAAACCCCAGCAUUCCAGGGGCUGUUGGAGAGGCCCUCCCUGACUCUCCCCCACCCCAGCUCCCUGCUGCUCCUGGCACAGGCCCUGCCUCCCCUGGGUCCCCAGAGCCCUCCUGGGCAGCUGGGCAGGGACCUGGCUCAUAAGUCAGCGCUAAGGCUCAGCAUUCUCAAACUGCAGGUUCUUUAGGGAUGUGCUUAGUUCCUGAGUCACAGGAAUUCUUCUGUCUUCCCUGACAAAGGGCACAUGAAACAAAAAGCCUAAAAUGUUUCUUGGUGCUUACAAAUAUUCAUGGAAAGUAAAGCUUUGCAUUGAGAACAGCCACAUGUGGAGGAAGAAUGGUGUUUCAUGGGCUUUUCAAAUUUCUACAGAGAAAUGCCAAGAGCUGCAGGUUUUAAGGCUCAUCAAAUAGAUUAAGAACACUGAGACACAACCACAAAUGCAUUUUUCUCUCUGCUUUCUGUUUGGCAUUAUAUCACUAGGUCUUGUAGGCAGAAGAAAAGUCUUGCUGCUUACAUCAAAGAUUCCUCGCUAGGAACAGACCUUCAAGAACCAAAUGGGUCUGCUUGCAGAAGCUUUGGCAGGUACUUUUUGCCCUCAUCUUCGAUAGUGUUCAUCUGUGUCCUAGGGAGGAUUUUUGUGCCCCAGUUGACACGAAUGGGCUUCUGAGCAGGGCACAAAUCCUGCGUGGAAGAGAAGAGCUGCACCUGCCUUCUCUAAGGCCUGUCUCUCCAGAGACAGAUGGCCCAAGGAUGUCACUGCCAAGUUAAGGUUCAGAGAGCGAUGCAGCUUCAAGUCUCUGCUUCCACAAGAGCAGCUUUGGGCUCCUUGAGCAGAGCUGCAAAGGAGCAGGACAGCUCCUGGUGAAGGUCUGACAGCUCCUGCCUGGUCCUUGCACAGCUCUCAGUGUAGUUCUGCCGGUGCUCUCGGUCUUGGGCCAGCUGUGACUGCAGCAGGGACACCUGAAAGAGGCACAAGGCCCAGCUCAGACAAGCCCACGCUGGCAGGAGCACCUGCAGCCCCACGGUUCCGGCUCUCGGGGCAGACACAGCCUCCAACUCCAGCCCUCAUCAAUACUCUGCCCUUGGGCAAGGGGAAAGGAACAGGCUCCCAGACAGAACAGAGCUCAGAUGGUCAACAAGUCCAGCUCAAGGCUGGCAAACCCUUCCCACGUACAUCCCUCAGCCACCACCAGGUCUAGUACAGAGACUUCCAACGGGAUUUAGGAACCAUUUGGUGAUUUCCAAAGCACACAUUAGGGCCACUCACCCCUUUCUCCACAGGCUGUGCCUCAGCACGAGGGCUGCUGCUCCCCUGAGCUCAUGGAGGACUCUUCUACUUGAGCUGCUGGGCUGCCAACCCAGGCAUGAGGGGAAUGUGGUGCUUGGGUUUUUUUGGUGCUUUCUUGAGGCAUUUGAGCACCCCAAGCCCCUGUUUAUCCCCAUUGUGAAAAACAAGGUUCACUCUCCUGUAAAAAUGUAGAAGUUGAAUAAAGGACAAUAAGAGACAAAGAUAAUAAAGCAAAGUUUUGGUGGUGUGUGCUUGGCAUUUAGCCAAGAGCACACCUGCCAUUUCAGA